rnacentral:lncRNA from 10 species
GGUAAACCAAAUAAUGUAGUUUUUACAAUUCUGUUUUGGUAAACCUAAAGGUAAUUUCACUGUGAUGGACAAAAGAGUUCAGUCCAACCCAAAUAUGUCCUGCUUUCACGCUAAUGUGUGUCUUCUCAAUAAGCCUACCAAGAAAAUAGGAAUGAGAAUCUAUUCCCCCAAAUCAAGGGCCAUUUGAAAUUGACCAUAUUCUAAUUAAACACUUUUUUAAAACCCACAUAUAUACACAGUACAACCUUUUCUCCUUUACAUUCAAAAUAACAAAACAGUAAAAGCCUUUUAUUUAAGGCUUUUGCUUAGAUUUAGUAGCUUUUCAUUGGAAGAGGGUACAGAGUAUAAGUAGAGAGGUGUUCAUUUAUUAAUUGGAAGAGGGUAUAGAGUAUAAGUAGAGAGGUGUUCAUUUAUAAAUUUAAUAAAUAUUUCUAGAGCUCCUGCUUGGCACCAGGUACAGUUCUGAGAAUCAGCGACCUAGCAUUUAACAACACAGAUUAGAUGUGUAAUGGCAUGGUGCUUACAUGCAUGGGAGACACACAAGCAAUGCAUAAACAAAAUGAGUAAUUUUGUUUAUUUGUUUAUGACCUGUUAUAUUACAUGUGUUUGAAUUUUGAGAUCACGAAUAUUAAUUUUUUGUUUUAAAAGAUAGGAUAUUAUUUUCUAUUGUUACAGCAGUAAUUUUUAAGAAAUAUGUUAAUAUAAACAAAAUUUUGAUAGUAUUCUUAAGACAUACCCAUAAAAACAUUUUAUUUGACUAUUUAUGAUCUAACAACAUUAACAAAUACAUGUUAAUUGUUUAUGUGCUUCUUUACUAGCAUUUCUUUGGGCAGAAAGUUUUUUUGAACUGAGUAAUUUAUCAUUUUUAGCGUUGCCUCAUCAGUUCACCAAUCAAUAUAUAGAUUACUGAUCUUUUACUUGUUAUGGGCUCAAAACUGUAGUAAGGAUUUCUGCAGUGGGGAUUACUUAAUUUGAUUUUCUUUUUUUCUUUCUUUUCUUUCUUCCCUUUAGACAGAGUCUUGCUCUGUCUCCCAGGCUGGAGUGCAGUGGCACAAUCUCAGCUCACUGCAACCUCUGCCUCCUGGGUUCAAG